AAGUCGAACGAUGAAGCCCAGCUUGCUGGGUGGAUUAGUGGCGAACGGGUGAGUAACACGUGAGUAACCUGCCCUUAACUCUGGGAUAAGCCUGGGAAACUGGGUCUAAUACCGGAUAGGAGCGCCUACCGCAUGGUGGGUGUUGGAAAGAUUUAUCGGUUUUGGAUGGACUCGCGGCCUAUCAGCUUGUUGGUGAGGUAAUGGCUCACCAAGGCGACGACGGGUAGCCGGCCUGAGAGGGUGACCGGCCACACUGGGACUGAGACACGGCCCAGACUCCUACGGGAGGCAGCAGUGGGGAAUAUUGCACAAUGGGCGAAAGCCUGAUGCAGCGACGCCGCGUGAGGGAUGACGGCCUUCGGGUUGUAAACCUCUUUCAGUAGGGAAGAAGCGAAAGUGACGGUACCUGCAGAAGAAGCACCGGCUAACUACGUGCCAGCAGCCGCGGUAAUACGUAGGGUGCGAGCGUUAUCCGGAAUUAUUGGGCGUAAAGAGCUCGUAGGCGGUUUGUCGCGUCUGUCGUGAAAGUCCGGGGCUUAACCCCGGAUCUGCGGUGGGUACGGGCAGACUAGAGUGCAGUAGGGGAGACUGGAAUUCCUGGUGUAGCGGUGGAAUGCGCAGAUAUCAGGAGGAACACCGAUGGCGAAGGCAGGUCUCUGGGCUGUAACUGACGCUGAGGAGCGAAAGCAUGGGGAGCGAACAGGAUUAGAUACCCUGGUAGUCCAUGCCGUAAACGUUGGGCACUAGGUGUGGGGACCAUUCCACGGUUUCCGCGCCGCAGCUAACGCAUUAAGUGCCCCGCCUGGGGAGUACGGCCGCAAGGCUAAAACUCAAAGGAAUUGACGGGGGCCCGCACAAGCGGCGGAGCAUGCGGAUUAAUUCGAUGCAACGCGAAGAACCUUACCAAGGCUUGACAUGUUCCCGAUCGCCGUAGAGAUACGGUUUCCCCUUUGGGGCGGGUUCACAGGUGGUGCAUGGUUGUCGUCAGCUCGUGUCGUGAGAUGUUGGGUUAAGUCCCGCAACGAGCGCAACCCUCGUUCCAUGUUGCCAGCACGUAAUGGUGGGGACUCAUGGGAGACUGCCGGGG
rnacentral:rRNA from 1 species